rnacentral:rRNA from 1 species
CCUACGGGUGGCUGCAGUGGGGAAUAUUGGACAAUGGGCGAAAGCCUGAUCCAGCCAUGCCGCGUGUGUGAAGAAGGCCUUCGGGUUGUAAAGCACUUUCAGUGGGGAAGAAAGCCUUGGGGCUAAUACCCUCGAGGAAGGACAUCACCCACAGAAGAAGCACCGGCUAACUCCGUGCCAGCAGCCGCGGUAAUACGGAGGGUGCGAGCGUUAAUCGGAAUUACUGGGCGUAAAGCGCGCGUAGGCGGUCUGAUAAGCCGGUUGUGAAAGCCCCGGGCUCAACCUGGGAACGGCAUCCGGAACUGUCAGGCUAGAGUGCAGGAGAGGAAGGUAGAAUUCCCGGUGUAGCGGUGAGAUGCGUAGAGAUCGGGAGGAAUACCAGUGGCGAAGGCGGCCUUCUGGACUGACACUGACGCUGAGGUGCGAAAGCGUGGGUAGCAAACAGGAUUAGAUACCCCUGUAGUC